rnacentral:rRNA from 1 species
GAUGAACGCUGGCGGCGUGCCUAAUACAUGCAAGUCGAGCGAAUGGAUUAAGAGCUUGCUCUUAUGAAGUUAGCGGCGGACGGGUGAGUAACACGUGGGUAACCUGUCCAUAAGACUGGGAUAACUCCGGGAAACCGGGGCUAAUACCGGAUAACAUUUUGAACCGCAUGGUUCGAAAUUGAAAGGCGGCUUCGGCUGUCACUUAUGGAUGGACCCGCGUCGCAUUAGCUAGUUGGUGAGGUAACGGCUCACCAAGGCAACGAUGCGUAGCCGACCUGAGAGGGUGAUCGGGCACACUGGGACUGAGACACGGCCCAGACUCCUACGGGAGGCAGCAGUAGGGAAUCUUCCGCAAUGGACGAAAGUCUGACGGAGCAACGCCGCGUGAGUGAUGAAGGCUUUCGGGUCGUAAAACUCUGUUGUUAGGGAAGAACAAGUGCUAGUUGAAUAAGCUGGCACCUUGACGGUACCUAACCAGAAAGCCACGGCUAACUACGUGCCAGCCGCCGCCGUAA